AUGCUAGAAAGAUUAUCCAAACAUACACAUUUUUGCUUUCUAGAUGGUUAUUCUGGUUUCUCUCAAAUACCUGUGUCAGUCAAAGAUCAAUCAAAGACUACAUUUACUUGCCCUUUUGGUACUUUUGCUUAUAGACAUAUGCCUUUUGGUCUAUGUAAUGCACCUGCUACUUUUCAAAGAUGCAUGAUGGCUAUAUUCUCUGAAUUUUGUGAAAAGAUUUGUGAGGUUUUCAUGGACGAUUUUUCCGUCUAUGGAUCCUCUUUUGAUGAUUGCUUAAGCAAUCUUAAUCGAGUUUUGCAGAGAUGUGAAGAAACUAAUCUUGUCUUGAAUUGGGAAAAGUGCCACUUUAUGGUUAAUGAAGGUAUUGUCUUGGGGCAUAAAGUUUCUGAAAGAGGUAUUGAAGUUGAUAAAGCUAAGGUUGAUGCUAUUGAAAAGAUGCCAUGUCCCAAGGAGAUCAAAGGUAUAAGAAGUUUCCUUGGUCAUGCCGAUUUUUAUAGGAGGUUCAUUAAGGACUUCUCAAAAAUUUCCUAG
rnacentral:rRNA from 1 species